rnacentral:misc_RNA from 1 species
AUCAUGACCAAGAAAGCAAGUUG